UUGGACCAUGGAUCUGAGUGGCAAGGGUUGCCAUUAAUCCAUUGUUGGCUCUAGAGACCAAAUGAUCCCCAAAGCUAAACCUAUAUAUUGGACCAAAUAGUAGACCUUUGGCACUGCCGAGGAAAGUUUCCCAAAAAUUUUCUUUAAAGAGGUUAAAUAUGGUUGAAGGUUGCCAUAAUACUAUCCUAUUUUGAUCCAU
rnacentral:lncRNA from 1 species